rnacentral:rRNA from 1 species
ACCCUACGGGGGGCAGCAGUAGGGAAUUUUCGUCAAUGGGCGCAAGCCUGAACCAACCAAGUCGCGUGAGGGAAGACGGCCCUACGGGUUGUAAACCUCUUUUGCCGGGGAGCAAGCCUGAGCACGUGUGCCCAGGCGGAGAGUACCCGGAGAAAAAGCAUCGGCUAACUCCGUGCCAGCAGCCGCGGUAAUACGGAGGAUGCGAGCGUUAUCCGGAUUUAUUGGGUUUAAAGGGUGCGCAGGCGGGCUGUUAAGCCCGCGGGAAAAAUUC